UUAAUUGAGACCAAAAUAGAGGUCUAUCACUGUUAAUGAUAAAAUUGAGAACAACUCCAAUUAAG
rnacentral:tRNA from 1 species